AAAGGUUUUCCAAUAUAGAAAGUGACAAAAAUUUAUGUUUAGAAUGAUUAACUCAGAGUCGCUACCUGACAUUUGAUUUCGGUGUGCCAGGCCACCAUUUUUUAGAAAUAAUUUUUCUUUAGAAAUACUUUGGACUCAAAACUAAGUCCACACCAGAGAUUCACAUAAGGGGUUUCAUUUGACUCGGAGGGAAGGUGUUAGGCACUCCCUAAGUCCCGUGAAGGUCACGGUUGCGUACUCGAUCUAGUUGGCUAUUACAAUAUUCAAAUUGAGGUAAAACACACAAAAGAAAAUAAACAUCCAAAAGAGGUUCGAGGCCGUCCCCACCUAAUAAAAAAGUAAAAUCCUCUGCUAGCCUAUAUUAUACUUCCUCCACAAAAUUCGUCAUGGCCUCCAAUUACAUAGUUGAAAGAGCAAGAAAUGAACCUUUUUGAGCAGGCUUUCACUUACAGCAACGGAAAUACGAAUAGGAGCCAGAAUCGAAAACCUCGAUUUCGAAGCUUGCUGAAACUCGACGAACCUCGAACAACACCUCAAAAUUUAAUCUCCAGAAGUUGUUGUACAUAGCUAAAUAUUGUCUCUAACUGUCGAUCGCAAACUGAAGUUUGCAGGCUUAUUAGUGUGGACAGUAUCUCUUCUGAUUUUCACAUUUUAAUUAAGUCAUCAUGACUGGAUGUUAUGGGUGUAUGGAGAGGGAAAUCUCUAUUAAGAAGAAGCUAAAAGGCGAUGGAUUUCGGAGAUUUUUAGGUUGAAGAAGGAGAAGAGAGCAGCGGCGUUUCAGGGGGUGUGAGGGUGGCUGUUGUUGAUGGUUAAGCGAUGGAGAAGAGAGGUCUUGGAGCGGCUGGUCUGUUGUGAAGAAGAUGAGUAGCGGUGGUGGCUUAGGAUCUGUGAAGAGUGACGAUGGAGAUGAGGGAAGAAGCGACGAUUGUUUUGGUCGGAGAAAAAGACGAGUAGCGUGGGGGGUAGGUUUUAGCUAGGGUUUCUAGGUGGUUGUUGUGAAGAAGAAGGUGGCUGGCGGCUGAGGGUGGAGCUGAUGGCGGCGGGCUGGCGGCUAGGGUGUUUUAAGGCUCUUGAAGGUUGUUUCUCCGUUGUUGUCAAGUUCAGCUAGGAUUUUCUUUUGUUCCAAGUAUUAUGAAGAUGUAUCCAUGGCUACUAUGGAGUUCUUGUCUUCCCUUGAAGAAGAUUAAGUGUAGGGUUCCUAGGAUUUUUUUUAGUGUGUAUUAAGGUUAAGGAUUGGGAAGAUUGGAUUUAUCAAAAUUGGG
rnacentral:lncRNA from 1 species